rnacentral:siRNA from 1 species
UGGCCGAGUGUCUACACGACGG